rfam:Gossypium raimondii chromosome 4, whole genome shotgun sequence.
AUCCCAUGAUGAGGACACUUACGGAGUAAUUCUUUGAAUCUCUCUCACGCCUCGUACAAGGAAUCAUCAUCUAAUUGCUAGAAAGUGGUGAUCUGAUUUCACAACCU